rnacentral:rRNA from 1 species
CGCGGUAAUACGUAGGUGGCAAGCGUUAUCCGGAAUUAUUGGGCGUAAAGCGCGCGUAGGCGGUUUUUUAAGUCUGAUGUGAAAGCCCACGGCUCAACCGUGGAGGGUCAUUGGAAACUGGAAAACUUGAGUGCAGAAGAGGAAAGUGGAAUUCCAUGUGUAGCGGUGAAAUGCGCAGAGAUAUGGAGGAACACCAGUGGCGAAGGCGACUUUCUGGUCUGUAACUGACGCUGAUGUGCGAAAGCGUGGGGAUCAAACAGGAUUAGAUACCCUGGUAGUCCACGCCGUAAACGAUGAGUGCUAAGUGUUAGGGGGUUUCCGCCCCUUAGUGCUGCAGCUAACGCAUUAAGCACUCCGCCUGGGGAGUACGACCGCAAGGUUGAAACUCAAAGGAAUUGAC